UACGACAUGCAGGCUGCUGACCAAGACAAGGAGGGUAUUCCCCAAGACCAGCAGCGUUUGAUUUUCGCCGGCACGCAUUUGGCAGACGGCCGAACCCUGAGUUACUACAACGUUCAGCAGGGGUCCACUAUUCACUUGGUACUUCGUCUCCGUGGUGGGAUGCAGAUUUUCGUCAACACUAUUCCUGGCUAGACCAUCACUCUUUACGUCGCGCAAAGCGAUGCUAUCGACAAUGUGAAGACCACGAUUCAAGACGAGGAGGAAGGUCAUUUGUCUGACGCCGAGCUAGCCGCUCUGGGUGACCGGCUCAACCAAGAUGAAGAUAAAACCUGGCUUGCUCUCCGCCGUAGCUCCAGCCGCCGCCGUGGUUACUAACGCUGAUUCCAGGAAUUAACGGUGGUCAAUGUACAUGUUGCAGCUGUGAAUAGUCGGAAAGGAAUUCACGAUAGUCACUGUCGAAGUUGCAGGUGUGAAUAGUGGGAAAGGAAUUCACGGUGGUCACUGUCCAUGUUGCAGCUGUGAAUAGUCGGAUAGGAAAUCACGGUGGUCACUGUCCAUGUUGGAGCGGCACACUUUGGCCAUGGCACAUUCUAGUAUAUCUACAUGGACAGCAGUCACAGCACCAUGAUGCCGGAGUUCAGGGAUUGUCCAAGUCACUCGUUUUAUCAAACUAAUUAUUUGUCAUACCCUCAGUCUUAGGAAUAUCUCAGUAAUGAUAUUGAUUUUCAACGUCUUUCUAAAUUUACCCUGCAAUCCAUCUCAAAAGACAAAAAAACGUGAUGCAGUUUGAAAUCUUGAAUCUUGUUGCCGAGCACGUGCCAAAUGCAGAGAAGGUACGCUUUUCAACGGCCAAAAAGAGUUGGAACGCUUGUGUCUUUGUGGGUAACUUGAACAUUGGGGCUCAUGCAAAAUCGCAUCGAUUUUGGGAUUUCCCCGCAACUUUUUGCUUCAGCAAAAAUGUUGUGCUGGACCACAUUCCUGUCACUUCGCAGUGGCUUAUUGUUGGUGCAGUUAGUAUCCCACCCUCCCAUCCCUGACUUCUGGGUGUGUGUUUAUCGAUAUCUUAUUGGUUUUCUUAUUGCCAAUAUU